ACGCUCGACACCUACGGGAGGCAGCAGUGGGGAAUAUUGCACAAUGGGGGAAACCCUGAUGCAGUGACGCCGCGUGAAGGAAGAAGUAUCUCGGUAUGUAAACUUCUAUCAGCAGGGAANAAAUGACGGUACCUGACUAAGAAGCCCCGGCUAACUACGUGCCACAGCCGCGGUAAUCUGAGCGGGCUGCAAGGC
rnacentral:rRNA from 1 species